rnacentral:rRNA from 1 species
GUGGGGAAUAUUGGACAAUGGGCGAAAGCCUGAUCCAGCCAUGCCGCGUGUGUGAAGAAGGUCUUCGGAUUGUAAAGCACUUUAAGUUGGGAGGAAGGGCAGUAAGUUAAUACCUUGCUGUUUUGACGUUACCAACAGAAUAAGCACCGGCUAACUUCGUGCCAGCAGCCGCGGUAAUACGAAGGGUGCAAGCGUUAAUCGGAAUUACUGGGCGUCAAGCGCGCGUAGGUGGUUCAGCAAGUUGAAGGUGAAAUCCCCGGGCUCAACCUGGGAACUGCCUCCAAAACUACUGAGCUAGAGUACGGUAGAGGGUAGUGGAAGUUCCUGUGUAGCGGUGAAAUGCGUAGAUAUAGGAAGGAACACCAGUGGCGAAGGCGACUACCUGGACUGAUACUGACACUGAGGUGCGAAAGCGUGGGGAGCAAACAGGAUUAGAAACCCCAGUAGUCC